rnacentral:tRNA from 1 species
UCCCUGGUGGUCUAGUGGCUAGGAUUUGGUGCUUUCACCUCCAUGGCCUGGGUUCUAGUCCAGUCAGGAAA